rnacentral:pre_miRNA from 1 species
AAUGAUGUUUGUGUGCGAAUGGUAUGUGGAGUGUCCAUUCGCACACAUACAUCACC